rnacentral:rRNA from 1 species
CUUUAAGGUCGGGGAUCUAAAGAUAACCAUGCAUGUCUAAGUAUAAACACGUUUGUACUGUGAAACUGCAGACGGCUCAUUAAAACAGAAAUAAUUUAUUUGACAAUUGAAUGCGACACGGAUAACCGUGGUAACUCCAGGGCUAAUACGUGACAAGAACGGGCAACCGUCGUGCAUAUUAGCUUAAACCAAUCAUUUCGUUGAACCAUAAUAUUCUGUCGGAUCGCGUUGGCUCUGCCAGCGACAUGUCAUUCAAGUUUCUGCCCUAUCAGCUCGUCGGUAGGGUAUUGGCCUACCGAGGCGUUAACGGGUACGGGGAAUCGGGGUUCGGUUCCGGAGAGGCAGCCUGAGAAACGGCUACCACAUCUACGGAAGGCAGCAGGUGCGAAAAUUGCCCAAUCCUGACUCAGGGAGGCAGUGACCAGAAAUAACGACUAGCAACCAUUGGUUGCAAUUCGGAAUGAGCACAAAGUAAAACUCUUAGCGAUCACCAAGUGGAGGGCAAGUCUGGUGCCAGCAGCCGCGGGAAUACCAGCUCCACUAGCGUAUACUAAAGUUGUUGCUGUUAAAACGCUCCUAGUUGGAUAUCAGCCCCGGGGGCAUGGCCCGGCCGUGUUACGGCCGCGCGCCAAAGUGGGGUCUUCCCGCCGCCUCCUAGGCUUUUUCAGGAGUGCCUGUCUGCCCAUUAGCUUGGGUCGGGCAGGCGUGCUCUGAUCUUUUACUUUGAGGAAAUUAGAGUGCUCAAAGCAGGCUCCGCCUGAAUGCUUAUCAUGGAAUAACAACAAAGACUUUGGGGGCUCGGCGCCUUUUACAGGGGUCGGGCCGAAUUUGUUGGUUUGGGCCAAAGUAAUGAUUGAUAGGAACAAACGGGGGUGCUAGUAUCGCGGGGCGAGAGGUAAAAUUCUAUGAUCCCCGCGAGACUGCCGCAUGCGAAAGCAUUCACCAAGCGUGUUUUCUUUAAUCAAGAACUAAAGCUUGAGGAUUGAAAACGAUCAGAUACCGUUGUAAUUCAAGCCAUAAACCAUGUCGACUAAGUAUUGGGCAUGAACGAACAUCCCCAGCACUUUAUGAGAAAUCAAAGUUUUCGGACUCAGGGGGAAGUAUGCUCACAAGAGUGAAAUUUAAAGGAAUUGACGGGAGGGCACCACCAGGAGUGGAGCCUGCGGCUCAAUUUGACUCAACACGGGAAAACUUACCAGACCAGGACAUAGUGAGGAUUGACAGAUUAAAGUUCUUUCUUGAUUCUAUGAAUAGUAGUGCAUGGCCGGUCUUAGUUGGUGGAGUGGUCCGUCUGGUUAAUUCCGAUAACGAACGAGACCCCAGCCAUCUGACUAGCCGUCGCUACUCGUUAGCGCUCGUGCUUUGCGCGAGUUCGGCUUCUUAGAGGGACCAACUGCGUUCAGCAGUGGGAAGCGUGGGGCAAUAACAGGUCAGUGAUGCUCUUAUAAGGUCUGGGCUGCACGCGUGCUACAUUGGCGCAUUCAGCGAGUCCAACCUGCCUCGAAAGGGGUGGGUAACCUUUAAUGUGCGCCCAAGUGGGGAUAGACGAUUGUAAUUGUUCGUCUUGAACUAGGAACUCCUAGUAAACGCAAGUCAUCAUCUUGCAUUGAUUACGUCCCUGCCCUUUGUACACACCGCCCGUCGCUCCUACCGAUUGAAUAAACCGGUGAACUGGGUGGAGGGGCCGCCUUCCUUGUGGUGGCAGCCCCGAAGCUCCGUGAAUCUGCUUAUUUAGAGGAAGGACAAGUCGUAACAAGGUUUCC